GACGAACGCUGGCGGCGUGCCUAAUACAUGCAAGUAGAACGCUGAAGGAGGAGCUUGCUUCUCUGGAUGAGUUGCGAACGGGUGAGUAACGCGUAGGUAACCUGCCUGGUAGCGGGGGAUAACUAUUGGAAACGAUAGCUAAUACCGCAUAAUAGUAGAUGUUGCAUGACAUUUGCUUAAAAGGUGCAAUUGCAUCCCUACCAGAUGGACCUGCGUUGUAUUAGCUAGUUGGUGGGGUAACGGCUCACCAAGGCGACGAUACAUAGCCGACCUGAGAGGGUGAUCGGCCACACUGGGACUGAGACACGGCCCAGACUCCUACGGGAGGCAGCAGUAGGGAAUCUUCGGCAAUGAACGGAAGUCUGACCGAGCAACGCCGCGUGAGUGAAGAAGGUUUUCGGAUCGUAAAGCUCUGUUGUAAGAGAAGAACGAGUGUGAGAGUGGAAAGUUCACACUGUGACGGUAUCUUACCAGAAAGGGACGGCUAACUACGUG
rnacentral:rRNA from 1 species